rnacentral:rRNA from 1 species
GAUGAACGCUAGCGGCAGGCCUAAUACAUGCAAGCCGAACGGCAAGUUUGAUAGCAAUAUUGGAUCUAGAGUGGCGCAAGGGUGCGUAACAUGUAUGCAACCCGCCUGCGAGAGGAGGACAGCCGCCCGAAAGGGGAAUUAACCCUCCAUAACACCAUGAGAAAGCAUCUGAUCAUGGUUAAACCGGAAGGGGUCGCGGAUGGGGAUGCGGUGGAUUAUCUAGUUGGUGGGGUACAGGCCUACCAAGGCGGUGAUCCGUAACGGGUAUGAGAGGAAGGUCAGUCACCCCGCAACUGAGACACGGUCCAGAGUCCUAAGUGAGGCAGCAGUGGGGAAUAUUGGACAUUGGGCGAAAGUCUGAUGCAGCCAUCCCGCGUGUGUGAAGAAGGUCUUAGGCUUGUAAAGCACUUUAAGUUUUGAGGAAGGGCAGUAAAUUCAUACCUUGCUGUUUUGACGUUACCAACAGAAUAAGCCCCGGGUAACUUCGUG